CGCUCCUAGAGGAUGACAGCUUAUCCGUUGGUCUUAGGAACCAAAGACUCUUGGUGCAAAUCCAAGUAGCAGCU
rnacentral:tRNA from 2 species